GACGAACGCUGGCGGCGUGCCUAAUACAUGCAAGUAGAACGCUGAAGAGAGGAGCUUGCUCUUCUUGGAUGAGUUGCGAACGGGUGAGUAACGCGUAGGUAACCUGCCUGGUAGCGGGGGAUAACUAUUGGAAACGAUAGCUAAUACCGCAUAAAAUGGAUUAUCGCAUGAUAAUCCAUUGAAAGGUGCAAAUGCAUCACUACCAGAUGGACCUGCGUUGUAUUAGCUAGUUGGUGGGGUAACGGCUCACCAAGGCGACGAUACAUAGCCGACCUGAGAGGGUGAUCGGCCACACUGGGACUGAGACACGGCCCAGACUCCUACGGGAGGCAGCAGUAGGGAAUCUUCGGCAAUGGACGGAAGGCUGACCGAGCAACGCCGCGUGAGUGAAGAAGGUUGUCGGAUCGUAAAGCUCUGUUGUAAGAGAAGAACGAGUGUGAGAGUGGAAAGUUCACACUGUGACGGUAUCUUACCAGAAAGGGACGGCUAACUACGUG
rnacentral:rRNA from 1 species